CCCCCAACCAUCUUAAUUUCUCAUACUAUAUUAUUCGAUCACCUUUCAAAAAAAAAAGUUUCUUCGAUCAAUCUCUAAUCUUGCCGUUGAGAGGAGACAGAGUUUUUCGAAAACUCAAUGGCCGGUGAUGUCUAUAUAUUUACGGAGCUAACGACAAUUAUGACGUUUCUCUAAGCUUUAAUUAUACGCAAAGCGUGGAAAUACAACACAUCCCUCUACCCACAAGCCGAAUUUGCAUAUGGGUCCGGACACAUUGAUCCUAUAAAGGCCUUAAAUCCAGGACUGGUAUAUGAGACAUCUUUUCAAGAAUAUUUCAAGACAUGGUGCAACCUCACAAAUGCUAAUUGUACCGUGAAGUUGUCUCCCAAAGAGAUUAAUUACCCGUCCAUGCCAGUUCGAGUAGAAGUGGGAGUUGUGGUUUCAGAGUCAUUUCCAAGAACACUAACAAAUGUUGGUGUCAGUUCAACUUAUGUUGCAUCUAUAGAGGGAGACACCUCAAAGUUGCGUUUCAAAGUGGGUCCCAACACUUUACGAUUCACAAAAAGGAACCAGAAGAUGAAUUUCGUGGUGACUGUUAAAGGGAGCAAAAUGAAACCCUCCACUAUAAAUAGCGCGUCUCUAGUGUGGACUGAUGGUGUUCACAGAGUUCGGAGUCCUAUCGUGGUUUACACCAGGUCCGAUGGAAAAAGUGCGUCACAUUUUUCUAGACCUCACAUUGUAUUUAUGUUAAUCCCCUUGAUGAUUAUUCACUUGUUCUUAACCAGAAGAUGAAUUUCGUGGUGACUGUUAAAGGGAGCAAAAUGAAGCCCUCCACUAUAAAUAGCGCGUCUCUAGUGUGGACUGAUGGUGUUCACAGAGUUCGGAGUCCUAUCGUGGUUUACACCAGGUCCGAUGGAAAAAGUGUGUCACAUUUUUCUAGACCUCACAUCGUAUUUAUGUUAAUCCCCUUGAUGAUUAUUCACUUGUUCUUUUCUUUUUUAGAUUAAAAAAACGAUAUUGUUGUUCAUAUAUUCCAGAUUUCUCAAUUUACCUUAGACAGUUUUCUCA